rnacentral:rRNA from 1 species
AUGUCAGUAUCAAGGAAAAUGAAAUGCCAAAAAAUAAGUCUUUGGGUAUCGGAAAACCAUGACAACUUCACUAAUUUGUCUAGUCCACUAAUUUGUGUUGAGGAAGCAAGUGCACACCCGUACAAAUGCAUUAUUGUUACAUGUAUUUUACCGGUACCGCAAAAAUCUAAACUAUGUACGACUACUCACUUUAAAAGAUCUCAUAUUAAUCCUGGUCUUGGCCAUUUGUGGGAACACGAUUUAGGAUAUUUCAUAUCCUAUAAGUUUACAACAAAUGAAUCUCAUAUUUUGUUUUUUAAUAACCAACAAAGAUUACACUUAUAUCUGAUCAUGCAUGGGGCUCAUAAUUGA